AUUGAACGCUGGCGGCAGGCCUAACACAUGCAAGUCGAGCGGAUGAGUGGAGCUUGCUCCACGAUUCAGCGGCGGACGGGUGAGUAAUGCCUAGGAAUCUGCCUGGUAGUGGGGGACAACGUUUCGAAAGGAACGCUAAUACCGCAUACGUCCUACGGGAGAAAGCAGGGGACCUUCGGGCCUUGCGCUAUCAGAUGGGCCUAGGUCGGAUUAGCUAGUAGGUGAGGUAAUGGCUCACCUAGGCGACGAUCCGUAACUGGUCUGAGAGGAUGAUCAGUCACACUGGAACUGAGACACGGUCCAGACUCCUACGGGAGGCAGCAGUGGGGAAUAUUGGACAAUGGGCGAAAGCCUGAUCCAGCCAUGCCGCGUGUGUGAAGAAGGUCUUCGGAUUGUAAAGCACUUUAAGUUGGGAGGAAGGGCAGUAAGUUAAUACCUUGCUGUUUUGACGUUACCAACAGAAUAAGCACCGGCUAACUUCGUGCCAGCCGCCGCCGUAAUAC
rnacentral:rRNA from 1 species